AGCCAUGCCGCGUGUAGUGAAGAAGGCCUUCGGGUUGUAAAGUACUUUCAGCGGGGAGGAAGGCGAUGAGGUUAAUAACCUUGUCGAUUGACGUUACCCGCAGAAGAAGCACCGGCUAACUCCGUGCCAGCAGCCGCGGUAAUACGGAGGGUGCAAGCGUUAAUCGGAAUUACUGGGCGUAAAGCGCACGCAGGCGGUCUGUCAAGUCGGAUGUGAAAUCCCCGGGCUCAACCUGGGAACUGCAUUCGAAACUGGCAGGCUUGAGUCUUGUAGAGGGGGGUAGAAUUCCAGGUGUAGCGGUGAAAUGCGUAGAGAUCUGGAGGAA
rnacentral:rRNA from 1 species